rnacentral:misc_RNA from 1 species
AACGCAUCUUGCGCUCCUUGGUAUUCCGAGGAGCAUGCCUGUUUGAGUGUCAUUAUAUUCUCAACUCUCCAAUACUUUGUUGUAAAGGAGAGCUUGGAUUGUGGAGGUUUGCUGGCUCCUUACUUGGGGUCAGCUCCUCUGAAAUGCAUUAGCGGAAUCGUCCGCGAUCUGCCACAAGUGUGAUAACUUAUCUACACUGGCGAGGGGAUUGCUUUCUGAUGUUCAGCUUCUAAUCGUCUAAGGACAAUUUCUUGAAUGCUUGACCUCAAAUCAGGUAGGACUACCCGCUGAACUUAA